rnacentral:rRNA from 1 species
GGCGACGAUCGGUAGCUGGUCUGAGAGGAUGGCCAGCCACACUGGAACUGAGACACGGUCCAGACUCCUACGGGAGGCAGCAGUGGGGAAUAUUGGACAAUGGGGGGAACCCUGAUCCAGCAAUGCCGCGUGUGUGAAGAAGGCCUGAGGGUUGUAAAGCACUUUCAGUGGGGAGGAGGGUUGACAGGUUAAGAGCUGGUUGACUGGACGUUACCCACAGAAGAAGCACCGGCUAACUCCGUGCCAGCAGCCGCGGUAAUACGGAGGGUGCGAGCGUUAAUCGGAAUUACUGGGCGUAAAGGGUGCGUAGGUGGUUUGAUAAGUUAUCUGUGAAAGCCCUGGGCUUAACCUGGGAACUGCAGAUAAGACUGUUAGACUCGAGUAUGGGAGAGGGUAGUGGAAUUUCCGGUGUAGCGGUGAAAUGCGUAGAGAUCGGAAGGAACACCAGUGGCGAAGGCGGCUACCUGGCCUAAUACUGACACUGAGGCACGAAAGCGUGGGGAGCAAACAGGAUUAGAUACCCUGGUAGUCCACGCUGUAAACGAUGUCAACUAGCUGUUGGUCUUAUGAAUGAGAUUAGUGGCGCAGCAAACGC